rnacentral:tRNA from 1 species
UGGCUGAGCGGUAAAGCGCUUGACUUCCAAACUGGGGUCCUGGGAUCGAAUCCCGG